rnacentral:rRNA from 1 species
CCUACGGGUGGCAGCAGUGAGGAAUAUUGGUCAAUGGACGAGAGUCUGAACCAGCCAAGUAGCGUGAAGGAUGACUGCCCUAUGGGUUGUAAACUUCUUUUAUAUGGGAAUAAAAUGUUCCACGUGUGGGAUUUUGUAUGUACCAUAUGAAUAAGGAUCGGCUAACUCCGUGCCAGCAGCCGCGGUAAUACGGAGGAUCCGAACGUUAUCCGGAUUUAUUGGGUUUAAAGGGAGCGUAGGUGGAUUGUUAAGUCAGUUGUGAAAGUUUGCGGCUCAACCGUAAAAUUGCAGUUGAAACUGGCAGUCUUGAGUACAGUAGAGGUGGGCGGAAUUCGUGGUGUAGCGGUGAAAUGCUUAGAGAUCACGAAGAACUCCGAUUGCGAAGGCAGUUCACUGGACUGCAACUGACACCGAGGCUCGAAAGUGUGGGUAUCAAACAGGAUUAGAUACCCUUGUAGUC